rnacentral:rRNA from 1 species
GACGAACGCUGGCGGCGUGCUUAACACAUGCAAGUCGAACGGAAAGGCUCCAGCUUGCUGGAGUACUCGAGCGGCGAACGGGUGAGUAACACGUGGGUAAUCUGCCCUGCACUCUGGGAUAAGCCUGGGAAACUGGGUCUAAUACUGGAUAUGACCUUUCUCCUUAUGGGGUUUGGUGGAAAGUUUUUCGGUGUAGGAUGAGCCCGCGGCCUAUCAGCUUGUUGGUGGGGUGAUGGCCUACCAAGGCGACGACGGGUAGCCGGCCUGAGAGGGUGAUCGGCCACAUUGGGACUGAGAUACGGCCCAGACUCCUACGGGAGGCAGCAGUGGGGAAUAUUGCACAAUGGGCGGAAGCCUGAUGCAGCGACGCCGCGUGAGGGAUGACGGCCUUCGGGUUGUAAACCUCUUUCAGCAGGGACGAAGCGUAAGUGACGGUACCUGCAGAAGAAGCACCGGCUAACUAUGUG